GAUGAACGCUAGCGGCAGGCCUAACACAUGCAAGUCGAGGGGCAGCACAGAAACAGCAAUGUUUUGGUGGCGACCGGCGGACGGGUGCGUAACGCGUAUGCAACCUACCUUUAACAGGGGGAUAACGGAGAGAAAUUUCCACUAAUACCCCAUAACAUCGAUCAAGGCAUCUUGAUUGGUUGAUAACUCCGGUGGUUAAAGAUGGGCAUGCGUUGUAUUAGGUAGUUGGUGAGGUAAUGGCUCACCAAGCCUACGAUACAUAGGGGGACUGAGAGGUUAGCCCCCCACACUGGUACUGAGACACGGGCCAGACUCCUAGGGGAGGCAGCAGUGAGGAAUAUUGGUCAAUGGGGGCAACCCUGAACCAGCCAUGCCGCGUGCAGGAAGACGGCUCUAUGAGUUGUAAACUGCUUUUAAACAGGGAUAAAGCACAGUAUGUAUACUGUGUUGAAGGUACUGUAAGAAUAAGGAUCGGCUAACUCCGUGCCAGCCGCCGCAGUAA
rnacentral:rRNA from 1 species